rnacentral:rRNA from 1 species
AACGAACGUUGGCGGCGUGGAUUAGGCAUGCAAGUCGAACGAAUCCCACCUUUGUAGCAAUACCGAGGUGGGGGAAGUGGCGAAAGGGGCAGUAAUGUGUGGGUAACCUACCCUGGGGACCGGGAUAGCCCUUCUAACGAGGGGGUAAUACCGGGCAAUGUGGCUGAGGGGCAUCUCUUGGCCACCAGAUGAAUUUCGCCCUGGGAGGGGCUCAUAUCGUAUUAGCUAGUUGGUGAGGUAACGGCUCACCAAGGCAAAGAUGCGUAGCGGGUGUGAGAGCACGACCCGCGCCACUGGCACUGAGACACUGGCCAGACACCUACGGGUGGCUGCAGUCGAGGAUCUUUGGCAAUGAGCGCAAGCUUGACCAAGCGACGCCGCGUGUGCGAUGAAGGCCUUCGGGUUGUAAAGCACUGUCGAGGGGGAUCAAAGGGCAACCUUGAGUGAUCCCUGGAGGAAGCACGGGCUAAGUUCGUGCCAGCAGCCGCAGUAAAAC